UUUAAUUCAGGGGCACCUUUCCAACAUCCGAAAGCCUCUCAAGGCAAAGGGUUGGUGUGGUAUAUGUGUGUUUUCUCCAAAGUCACAGUCCAAUGCUGAAAACACUACACCACCCUGGAUCUCUGGUGAACCUUUUAUGUCCUAACAAUUCAGUUGAGUAACUUUGCAUAUUGAGUUAACUAGUUUAUCCCUAAGGGUACAUCUGUACAAGUCAUUGCAGAUUGUGUCUCUAAUUAAUAUUGCUGAGCAUGAUGAAUCAUAAGAUCAGAUGCACCUCACAAUUCUGACUUGUGGAGCAGCUUGCAGCAGGCCAGCCCCCUUUGAAUCAGGACUGGGAUGGUCAAAGUAGAUGCUUGCAAUUUCUGGCAACAGAAGAAACAGAGCCUAGUGGAAUCUUGAAGAAUAAUGGGUUUAUUUUAGCAGGAGGUUUCCAGGAUUGCAAUCUACUUCUUUAGAUUCACUGAAUGACAAGAUAUCACAAGACUCUUUUUCCGUCACUUAUACUGAAACAGAUGAAUGCAUCUAUCACUUUGAAAACUGCUUUACACACAUAUUCUGUAAAGUGUGCAGAUCUGGGGGAUUUGUAUGCUUACUCCUGAAAUAAAAUCUUCCAGAACUGAGA